rnacentral:rRNA from 1 species
CGUAACGCGUAUGCAAUUUGCCCAUAACUGGGGGAGUAGCCCGGAGAAAUCCGGAUUAAUACCCUAUAGUAUAAUGAAGAGGCAUCUUUUUAUUAUUAAAGAUUUAUCGGUUAUGGAUGAGCAUGCGUCUGAUUAGCUAGUUGGUAAGGUAACGGCUUACCAAGGCUACGAUCAGUAGGGGGUCUGAGAGGAUGAUCCCCCACACUGGUACUGAGAUACGGACCAG